rnacentral:lncRNA from 1 species
GUCACCCCACCUGUUGGCCUGGGUCCCGGAUGUGUCCUGCUGUCUUCAGCCUCCAGCCUCUGGUCAGGCUCCUCCCUCUGCCCUCAGCCCUUCCAGAUCCACAGGGACAGGCUGAUGCCUCCCAACUACCCACCAUCCUGGGGACUGUUGUGGUCCUGCUGCUGAUCCUGGGAGCUGGACUGUUCCUCUGGAGGACACGAGUGAAGAAGAGCCUGGAGCCUGGGAGAGGCAGGUUGCACUUCUCCUCCCCGGGCCCACACACCUCCCUCCCCUGGACCCUGGGCUCCCUUCCUCCUGCAUUGACUGCUCAGGGGAUGUCCCUGCAGGAGGCAGGUGGGGACGGCCAUGGCCUUGGGGUGUUGGAGGGGAGGGGACAGGUUUCCAGGGCUCAGACUUCAGCUCCCUCUGUGUAUGACCCAGGUGCACGGUCGCAGGAGGAGCACAGGGACCCCGAUGGUGGCAUUCACUCUGCAGAGCUGAACCAGCAGAGGUCUGGAGACAGCAGGGACAAGGUGAGGCUGGGAGAGGGGGUAGCCUGGGUCCUCCCACAUCCCUGUGUGCCUGGGUGUGUGCUUGUCAAUCCCCGUCAUCCACAGGGUCUGACCACUGUACCCCUGGAACACUUUCAGGACAACACAGUAUUAGCUACAAAAUUCACUUCGGGGCCCAUGCAGUGUUGCGUGACUAGAGGAGGACAUGUCAGCAGCACUGGAUCUAUGGGGGUCCUGUUGGGGCUUUCUGUCUGUCUGCUGUUGCAGGACCCUCUGUCUGCAUUCCAGGGUAGAGGUGCA